rnacentral:rRNA from 1 species
UUGGAGGGCAAGUCUGGUGCCAGCAGCCGCGGUAAUUCCAGCUCCAAUAGCGUAUAUUAAAGUUGUUGCAGUUAAAAAGCUCGUAGUUGAAUUUCGGGGUUAGUAAGUUGGUCAUGCCUCUGGUAUGCACUGGCUUUACUGAUUCCUCCUUCUUGACGAACUGUAAUGUCAUUAAUUUGGUGUUGCAGGGAAUCAGGACUGUUACUUUGAAAAAAUUAGAGUGUUUAAAGCAGGCAUAAGCUUGAAUACAUUAGCAUGGAAUAAUGAAAUAGGACGUUUGAUCCUAUUUUGUUGGUUUCUAGGAUUGACGUAAUGAUUAAUAGGGAUAGUUGGGGGCAUUAGUAUUCAAUUGUCAGAGGUGAAAUUCUUGGAUUUAUUGAAGACUAACUACUGCGAAAGCAUUUGCCAAGGAUGUUUUCAUUAAUCAAGAACGAAAGUUAGGGGAUCGAAGACGAUCAGAUACCGUCGUAGUCUUAACCAUAAACUAUGCCGACUAGGGAUCGGAUGAUGUUAUUUUUAAUGACUCAUUCGGCGCCUUACGGGAAAC